UACGAAGGGUGCGAGCGUUAAUCGGAAUUACUGGGCGUAAAGCGUGCGCAGGCGGUGAUGUAAGACAGUUGUGAAAUCCCCGGGCUCAACCUGGGAACUGCAUCUGUGACUGCAUCGCUGGAGUGCGGCAGAGGGGGAUGGAAUUCCGCGUGUAGCAGUGAAAUGCGUAGAUAUGCGGAGGAACACCGAUGGCGAAGGCAAUCCCCUGGGCCUGCACUGACGCUCAUGCACGAAAGCGUGGGGAGCAAACAGG
rnacentral:rRNA from 1 species